AUUGAACGCUGGCGGCAGGCCUAACACAUGCAAGUCGAGCGGAGCGGCGGACGGGUGGGUAAGUCCUAGGAAUCUGCCUGGUAGUGGGGGAUGGCGUCCGGCAAUGGGCGGUAGUCCCGCAUACUAUCAGAUGAGCCUAGGUGGAAUUAGCUAGUGGGUGGGGUAAAGGCCUACCAAGGCGACGAACCGUAGCUGGUCUGAGAGGAUGAUCAGACACACUGGAACUGAGACACGGUCCAGACUCCUACGGGAGGCAGCAGUGGGGAAUAUUGGACAAUGGGCGAAAGCCUGAUCCAGCCAUGCCGCGUGUGUGAAGAAGGUCUUCGGGUUGUAAAGCACUUUAAGUUGGGAGGCGUUACCAGCAGAAUAAGCACCGGCUAACUUCGUGCCAGCAGCCGCGGUAAUAC
rnacentral:rRNA from 1 species